rnacentral:rRNA from 1 species
GACGAACGCUGGCGGCGUGCCUAAUACAUGCAAGUAGGACGCAGUUGCGAACGGGUGCGUAACGCGUAGGUAACUACCUGUUAGAGGGGGAUAACUAUUGGCAACGAUAGCUAAUACCGCCUACUAGUAGAUGGACCUUCGUUGUAUUAGCUAGUAGGGAGGGUAAAGGCCUACCUAGGCAAUGAUACAUAGCCGACCUGGGAGGGUGAGCGGCCAAACUGGGACUGAGACACGGCCCAGACGCCUACGGGAGGCAGCAGUAGGGAAGCUUCGGCAAAGGGGGGAAACCUGACCGAGCAACGCCGCGUGAGGGAAGAAGGUUUUCGGAUCGUAAAGCUCUGUUGUUAAGGAAGCGGUACUUAACCAGAAAGGGACGGCUAACUACGUGCCAGCAGCCGCGGUAAUAC